GACGAACCGUGCGAACAUUGUUCGGAAUCACUGGGCUUAAAGGGCGCGUAGGCGGGCGAUCAAGUCCGGGGUGAAAUCCUCCAGCUUAACUGGAGAACUGCCUCGGAUACUGAUUGUCUCGAGGGGGAUAGGGGCAUGCGGAACUACGGGUGGAGCGGUGAAAUGCGUUGAUAUCCGAAGGAACGCCGGUGGCGAAAGCGGCGGACUGGACCUUUUCUGACGCUGAGGCGCGAAAGCCAGGGGAGCAAACGGG
rnacentral:rRNA from 1 species